GCGCCUCUAGCUCAAUUGGCAGCGCAUCGGACGCUUAAUCCGCAGGUUCUGGGUUCAAGUCCCAGGGGGCGCA
rnacentral:tRNA from 1 species